GGCUUCCUCAACCUCGGCCCUCCAGAUGUUUUGAGACUACAAUUCCCAUUAUCCCUGACCACUGGCCCUGCUAACUAGAGAUGAUGGGAAUUGUAGUCUCAAAACAUCUGGAGGGCCGAGGUUGAGGAAGCC